rnacentral:rRNA from 1 species
AUUGAACGCUGGCGGCAGGCCUAACACAUGCAAGUCGAGCGGAGCGGCGGACGGGUGAGUAAUGCCUAGGAAUCUUCCUGGUAGUGGUGGAUAACGUCCGGAAACGGGCGCUAAUACCGCAUACUAUCAGAUGAGCCUAGGUCGGAUUGGCUAGUUGGGGGGGAAAAGGCCUACCAAGGCGACGAUCCGUAACUGGUCUGGGAGGGUGAUCAGUCACACUGGAACGGAGACACGGUCCAUACUCCUACGGGAGGCAGCAGUGGGGAAUAUUGGACAAUGGGCGAAAGCCGGAUCCAGCCAUGCCGCGGGGGUGAAGAAGGUCUUCGGAUUGUAAAGCACUUUAAGUUGGGAGGCGGUACCUGAAGAAUAAGCACCGGCUAACUACGUGCCAGCAGCCGCGGUAAUUC